GUGAAAUUAUAGUACCUGUGAAGAUGCAGGUUACCCGCGACAGGACGGAAAGACCCCGUGGAGCUUUACUGUAGCCUGAUAUUGAAUUUUGGUACAGCUUGUACAGGAUAGGUAGGAGCCUUGGAAGCCGGAGCGCCAGCUUCGGUGGAGGCAUUGGUGGGAUACUACCCUGGCUGUAUUGACAUUCUAACCCGCACCCCUUAUCGGGGUGGGAGACAGUGUCAGGUGGGCAGUUUGACUGGGGCGGUCGCCUCCUAAAAAGUAACGGAGGCGCCCAAAGGUUCCCUCAGAAUGGUUGGAAAUCAUUCGUAGAGUGUAAAGGCACAAGGGAGCUUGACUGCGAGACCUACAAGUCGAGCAGGGACGAAAGUCGGGCUUAGUGAUCCGGUGGUUCCGCAUGGAAGGGCCAUCGCUCAACGGAUAAAAGCUACCCCGGGGAUAACAGGCUUAUCUCCCCCAAGAGUCCACAUCGACGGGGAGGUUUGGCACCUCGAUGUCGGCUCAUCGCAUCCUGGGGCUGUAGUCGGUCCCAAGGGUUGGGCUGUUCGCCCAUUAAAGCGGUACGCGAGCUGGGUUCAGAACGUCGUGAGACAGUUCGGUCCCUAUCCGUCGUGGGCGUAGGAAAUUUGAGAGGAGCUGUCCUUAGUACGAGAGGACCGGGAUGGACGCACCGCUGGUGUACCAGUUGUCUUGCCAAAGGCAUAGCUGGGUAGCUAUGUGCGGAAGGGAUAAGUGCUGAAAGCAUCUAAGCAUGAAGCCCCCCUCAAGAUGAGAUUUCCCAUAGCGUAAGCUAGUAAGAUCCCUGAAAGAUGAUCAGGUUGAUAGGUUUGAGGUGGAAGCGUGGUGACACGUGGAGCUGACAAAUACUAAUAGAUCGAGGACUUAACUAAU
rnacentral:rRNA from 1 species